UCUCAGGCUUCCGGAAUUCUCAAGCAAUCCAAUUCGAUUCGCUUCUCGACUGUUUCACUUGGCAUUGUGAGAGUUUCUGCAUGUCGUGUGAGGAUAAAGCCAUGUCCGGUCGAAGUCCAUCCCCAAAGAUUCAAAUUCCUGAAAUUGCUAGCUCCAGUGGAGCCAUUUCUGUCACUUCUACUAAUGAACCGACGCACUCAACAGCACUACAAAGUGAGAAUUUACAUGGGCCUGUUGCCAUUCUUUGGGACAUUGAAAACUGCCCAGUUCCAAAUGAUGUUAGACCUGAAGAUGUUGCUGGCAACAUUCGUCUUGCAUUGAGAGUGCACCCUUUGAUCAAAGGAGCUGUGACAAUGUUUGCUGCAUAUGGGGACUUCAAUUCCUUCCCCCGGAGGCUAAGAGAGGGCUGCCAAAGGACAGGCGUCAAGCUUGUUGAUGUGCCAAAUGGAAGAAAAGAUGCUGCUGACAAGGCUAUUUUGGUUGAUAUGUUCCUAUUUGCCCUUGACAAUCGUCCACCCUCAUCUAUUUUGCUUAUAUCUGGGGAUGUGGAUUUUGCUCCUGCAUUGCAUAUACUGGGGCAACGUGGGUACACAGUGAUUCUUGUCAUCCCUUCUAAAGUUGGCGUCUCUUCUGCUCUCUGCAAUGCUGGAAGAUUCGUAUGGGACUGGCCAAGCAUUGCCCGUGGAGAAGGUUUUGUCCCUUCAAGAACCAGUGUAGCACGGGGAUCCGACCGUUCUGGCUAUCUCAUGAAUAACUUUUUUGAUAACUGCCCUGAUAUUCAGAUUGAAGAAGAAGCCAUAGUUUAUAAAGGAAGUGGCUACAAUUCAUGCAGUAAUUCUAGUAAUCUCAGGGAUCAUUCCAAUGUAUCCCAAAUAUCUACCGAUUCCUCAAAGCUUCAAGGUCAGCCUUCUAGAAUGAGUGAAGUUCCUUCAAGGGAUCAGAGCUGCAGGGCACAAGACAGUUGGGUACAGCCAGGAGAUAUUCAAGGCUUGAAGGGCCAGCUGGUGAAGCUGCUAGAGAUAUCUGGUGGAAGUUUGCCCCUUGUUCGGGUUCCAUCAGAAUAUCUUAGGAGCUAUGGAAGGCCACUCUACAUGUCAGAAUAUGGAGUAUUCAAGCUGGUGCACCUUGUAGACAGGAUGGCUGAUACCUUGAUUUUGGUGGGAAAGGGACAUAAAAAGUGUCUCUGCCUUCGCAACUCAGAUAGAAAUAUUAAGAAGUAUGAGAACAUACCAAUAAUCCUGAAGAGAAAUAAGAACGAUAAAGGCAUAGUUGGGGAAACUGUUGAUACUGGUAUCAGUCCUAAUACAGGAAGCUCUUCGGAUGACUCAUCAGAUGAUGAAAGGAAUGCUGAUGCAGGGUGUGAAUUUGAUGAGCUUCUUGAAGGUUUCACGAGGGAAAUACAAGAGAUUCUAGUGUGCUACUCAUGUCCAGUCCCUUUAGACUGCUUUGAGGCUUUGUAUGAGCAGCGUUACAAAAAAAUUGUUGAUUACCAGAAGUUAGGAGCAGAAGGGCUUGAAGACUUGGUUGAGAAGGUAAGAGAUGUUGUGGAACUCCGUGAGGAUGAAGGAAGUGAGAAGAAGUUCCUCAUCUCCAGCAUUUUAAGUGGGUUUGAAGGAAUUGCCAACUCUGGCUUUGAGGACAGAUUGAGAAGCUGAAAAGGAGAAUUAUAUCAAUGAGAUCUGUGAGUGCUUCUUAUCCUUGUGCUAAAACAAGCACUCAUCAAUUUCUUUUGAGAACUAUUGCUCUGAUUCAACUAUCUAGCUCAGUUCCCAUGUCGGCGGCCAUGCCGCAAUAAAUCAUUUAAAUCCAAUAAUAUAUCUUGCUUCGUCUUCUCUACCUAUUAAAAAUUAAAUCAUAGAGUACAUCAGUGGUAUUCAAUGGUGCAAUUUGCUUGUUUUUUAUAUUCAUACUGGGGAAAACUUCCUACCUCCACUUUCUCCAGGACUGAUUUGAAUUCAACACAUUGCCAUUGUUUUGCAUCUGCCUGUCUUUGAGAUUUGAGAAACAUCCUACUAAACUACCCAAAAGUGAUUCCCCCUGUUGAUCAUUUAAAGCUAAGGAGAACUGGUUAGACAAAGUCUUACCAGAUAAUUGGAACAAGGGUAAUUAUAAUAUUGAUGAUGAUGAGAAUCAUUUUCCAUGAAGAUCAUUCACUAACCACCAGAUUACCAUAAUGUUAAAUGACAUUUUCUUUUGAUUGAUUUCAUGAAUUUGUGAAU